AACACAAGGGGAAGAUGUGAGGCGGGUGACACGCGAGGGGUACAAACACAGCCUAGGGGUCCUGACCUGCAGACCGACAGCCUGCGCGGGGCCCAGGCCCGCCCCUCCCACACCACAGUCCCAGGUCCUCUAUCCUGGCGGAGGCGGGGGUCUCCGCACUGCACGAGAUCGCCCCAGACCCGGGCUCCUUCGCUCCUGAGGCUCCCUCAUCCCUGGGCUCCUCUCUGCCCCGGACACACUGGAAGCGCCACUACCGCCGCAUCUGCAUUCCAAAAAGAACAGCCUCAUGCCGGACAAGGUAAACACUCCAGGGAGGGAAGGUGUAAGUGGCACUGCAUAAAUGCAGAGAGCUCUCCAUGCACAACCCAUGUUGGGCCCGGCAACCAUGACUCACAGGGAGGAAGACUGCAGAGGCCUGGAAGGUGCGCUGUCAGGGGUGCCGUGACCCCGCUAUGGGAUCUCCAGCCCACUCCAGUUCCUCGAGGCUGUGGCUUGCAAGACGAGACUUUCUCUCCAGCAUGCAGAUGUGUGGUAUUUUCCUUCUGAAGCAGAUUGCUGGUCUCAGGCCGGAACGGUGCACACCCGUGUUCCCACAAUGUAAACCACCAUCAGGCUAAGUGUAGACAUUUUGUGAUGCAUUUAGAUAAGGUAGCGUAGCAUGGCUUUCUUCCAGGAAAGCCAACAUUCGGGACAUCCUCAGUAAGCCAGGUACCCUACCGGAUGCUGAGGAUGGGGUGUUCCAUUUUACAGGUAUAUAGCAGACUCACAGGCCUCAAGUGUCUUGUUCAGAGUCACUAAGACAUGAAAGUGGUCAAGUGGCUUGGGAGGAUACUCACCUUCUUCCUUGCUAGCAGGAACUACAGUUUAAGGCUGCAACACACCCAGCCCGAAGUGAUGAUUUAUGAUUAAGACAAUCAUGAUAAAGCUGUUUUCCAGUUCCUCAGGCCCUCCUGCAGUUAGGGGGAGCCAUGUGAUCCAGUUAUGAUCCAUGAAACCUAACAAAAACACUACUAUUCCAU
rnacentral:lncRNA from 12 species